rnacentral:rRNA from 1 species
AUUGAACGCUGGCGGCAGGCUUAACACAUGCAAGUCGAGCGGGGUGAUGGUGCUUGCACUAUCACUUAGCGGCGGACGGGUGAGUAAUGCUUAGGAAUCUGCCUAUUAGUGGGGGACAACAUCUCGAAAGGGAUGCUAAUACCGCAUACGUCCUACGGGAGAAAGCAGGGGAUCACUUGUGACCUUGCGCUAAUAGAUGAGCCUAAGUCGGAUUAGCUAGUUGGUGGGGUAAAGGCCUACCAAGGCGACGAUCUGUAGCGGGUCUGAGAGGAUGAUCCGCCACAAUGGGACUGAGACACGGCCCAGACUCCUACGGGAGGUAGCAGUGGGGAAUAUUGGACAAUGGGGGGAACCCUGAUCCAGCCAUGCCGCGUGUGUGAAGAAGGCCUUAUGGUUGUAAAGCACUUUAAGCGAGGAGGAGGCUCUUUUGGUUAAUACCCAAGAUGAGUGGACGUUACUCGCAGAAUAAGCACCGGCUAACUCUGUGCCAGCAGCCGCAGUAA